AAAGAUUAAGCCAUGCAUGUCUAAGUAUAAGCAAUUAUACAGCGAAACUGCGAAUGGCUCAUUAAAUCAGUUAUCGUUUAUUUGAUAGUACCUUACUACAUGGAUAACCGUGGUAAUUCUAGAGCUAAUACAUGCUUAAAAUCCCGACUUCGGAAGGGAUGUAUUUAUUAGAUUAAAAACCAAUGCCCUUCGGGGCUCACUGGUGAUUCAUAAUAACUUCUCGAAUCGCACGGCCUUGUGCCGGCGAUGGUUCAUUCAAAUUUCUGCCCUAUCAACUUUCGACGGCUGGGUCUUGGCCAGCCGUGGUGACAACGGGUAACGGGGAAU
rnacentral:rRNA from 1 species